AAUGUAUGUAAAAUAUGUUGCAAUAUGAAACAGCUCAAAAUAUAUUUUGGACGCUGCCAGGUACAUUUAACUAGAUCAUAAUAAUACGGAAUCAAGUAGGACUCCAUCUCCCAUAGUCCUCGAGACUUGCAAAUACUGUAAUGGAGAUCCCCAGCAGUCGUAUGACAUGAAGUUCUUCACCUUAAUAAAACCAGAGGACGUAGCUACAUCCCCAGCAUGAUUGUGUAUGUAAGGUUUAACUCCAGCCAUGGCUUCCCAGUGGAGCUAGAGGAGGGGGCCAGCAUCGCAGUGCUGAAGGAGAAGGUGGGGAGGCUGCAGGGGGUACAGCCGGAGCAGCUGAGAGUCAUCUUUGCUGGCAGAGAGCUGCUCAGCGACUGCACCCUCCAGGGCUGUGACCUCCCAGAGCAGAGUACCGUGCACGUGGUGCUGCCUCCCCCGGGGUCGGGCCGGUGCUCUGACCUGGCCCUGCAGCACCGUCUGGGUCGAGGGGUGGACAGCCUCACCCGCCUGGACCUCACCGCCUCCCGCCUGCCCACUACCUCCACCGGCCUGGCUGUCAUACUGGAAACUGAUGACGAGCAGAGAGCCAGGGAAGAGCCUGAACACACAGAGCCCAGACCUCACAGCAGCUUCUAUGUGUACUGCAAGAGUGUGUGCCGGGCCAUCCAGCCGGGGAAGCUACGCGUGCGCUGCCGAGCCUGCAAGCAGGGAACCCUCACCUUGAGCCGGGGCCCGUCAUGUUGGGACGAUGUCCUCCUCCCAGAGCGUAUCCAUGGCGUCUGUCAAUCAGAGGGUUGCCUUGGCAGAGUAGCGGAGUUUUACCUGAAGUGUGCUGCCCACCCCACCUCUGAUGAUGACACGUCUGUGGCCCUGGACCUCGUCAUGCCCAAUGUGCGGGAUGUCCCAUGCAUUGCCUGCACAGAUAUCAUGAGUCCAGUGUUGGUGUCCCAGUGUCCAGACCGCCAUGUUAUUUGUCUAGACUGCUUCCACAUGUACUGUGUGACCCGCCUCAACGAGCGACAAUUCAUCCACCACCCAGAUGUCGGCUACUCACUUCCAUGUGCAGCUGGCUGCCCAGACUCUCUCAUAACGGAGUUGCAUCACUUCCGAGCCCUAGGUGAUGAACAGUAUGAGCGGUACCAGCAGUAUGCAGCCGAGGAGUGUCUCCUCCAGAUGGGAGGAGUGUUGUGUCCAGCCCCUGGAUGUGGAGCAGGCCUGCUGCCUGAGGAGGACAAGAGGAUGAUCCAGUGUCUGCUCAGCAACGGUUUGGGAUGCGGGUGCAUGUGUGUAUGUUUACCCUCUGAGGGUGCUGUCUGGGGUGCUGUGAUCCGUUGUGUUGCUCAGUGAAGGGAGGCGAGGGGAAAUAGGUUUGUCAGCCACCGGAAACCUGCUGCAACCCUUCAUGAGUCUUCCACACUCCACUGGGCAGCUCUGUCUCUGUACCAGCCACGCAACCCACCCACUGGCCAACCCUCAACCCAGCCGCAAACCUUCGCCCCACCCGGCCCCCGGCCCAACUCGGCUAGACAAAUGACUUCAACUUAGAGUUUGUGUUCUGCCGUGACUGUAAGGAAGGAUUCCAUGAGGGGGAAUGUCAUGUGAGGUCAUCACCUGUCUCAGGAGGAGCCCUGCAGG